UGUGUGUGUGUGUGUGUGUGUGUGUGUGUGUGUGUGUAAUUUUAUGGGUCUAUGGCUAAAGUACAAUAACAGCAGAUGUAAAGCUAUUCCAAAGAAUGUGAAUGGACUGAGAUUCAUUUAGGCAACACUAUGAUCCUUAGAACAUGCAUGCAUGCACACACACACACACACACACACACACACACACACA